rnacentral:misc_RNA from 1 species
CGGGUCCCUCCGAUCUAGUCACUUCCUCUUUGUGCUGAUUAAACUUCUGACUCACUCUUUCACAGGACCGCGUACGAAAUCGGGCUACUCAGGUUAAUAAUGGCAACUAAUGGUGGACAACGCUUUAACUUCUGCAACAAUUGUGGUACGGCCAACGUCAAGGUAGAUGUCAACACUGCCUCGAUUAUCAGUGAAGGCAAGCAAGAACCUGUGCCAGUCGAAAUGAACAUUGGUAACAAAGCAAAGAAGAUAACAGCUGAUAUCAAGGUGAACAAAUCUGAUGGUAACCCUCAGCAGCUGCCCCAGCAGGGUCCACAAGUCACCGGGGAGUCAAGACAGUGUUCUGAAGAUACACAGGCUCGGCAAGCUGUCUCCGAAGCGUCUGACAAUGAUGGCAGUACCAGCUAGAUGAUGCUUCUCCUAUCUUUGGCUUGUACAAAUACAUCAGCUGCCAGAGGAAACCAACCAAUCCAUAUCAUGAAACAUCUCCCAAGACGACAGUUUAAAGAGAACAGCGAUACAGGAUUUCUCCUUGUUCGUAUUCUCACAACAGAUUCCAGAUAUUUUGUGUUUAGGAAGUCGCAUUGUAUGUGGCCACAGCAGAAAGAAAUGGCCCUAUGUUCAGAAACAUAUUUUUAAGUAAUUUGUGCCAGUCAUUCAUAAGAGCUGUUUUUACAUCGGCAUUGAAAAACAAUAGUUCAAAUCACCAUAAUAAACUUAGCUUUGGAAUAUAAAGUGGAGAAAAAAAAACCAACAAAUAUGAAAUGUGAUAUGAAUAUUUGUACACAUAAUAUAAAACCACUAGUGUGUAUGUGUUUGCAUGCAUGCAGACCUAAGUGUGUACUUCUACUAGUUUGUCAAUGUCAUUGUGGAAUAUUCAAGUAUAGAAAGUAACAAUUAUAUCCAACUUACUGAAUGUCACAGACAUAAUAAUGAGUAGUGAUAAUAUUGAAGUUGUUCUCAUAAAAAAUCUACUUUAUCUCUUUGCUUGACAGAUGGAUCAUGUUAUUAAACUUCCAAGUUUUCCAAACAUAAUAAAUCAAUAUUGCUUACAAAAUAUUUACAAUGGUGAGAAAAGCCACUAUUUAAACAGAGUAAAAAUAAAAAUAAUCCAAGUUUAUAAAGAUCAUCAGUGUUCCCUCAUCAAUGAAUGUACACCCAUAUUUUAUUUCUUAAAUAACUUCCAAAUGAACACAAUUACUCAUUGAUUCUAACAGUUUUUAUAUUUGAAUAUACCUUCCGUCCUACAGCAGUCAAGAAUUCAACAGAUGUAAAUUCUUCUGUUUGUUUUAAUCCUAAUAUUUUUUAUUCUCCUAUUUUCACUGAAUGUCAAUCUCAUAUUUACAUAUAUAAAACCAUUUAUUUAGUGAUAAAUACAAUUAAAUGUACUGUACUGCAUUAUUUUUAAUGAAUACUAUUCAUUUUUUAACCUUUCUCUUUGCAUACUGCUAGUGGCUAUUUUGUAGCACAUGUAUUAGUCAUUUUGACUUGGCAUAAUAAAUAAUUCUACUAUAUGGCA